rnacentral:rRNA from 1 species
AUUGAACGCUGGCGGCAGGCCUAACACAUGCAAGUCGAGCGGAUGAAGGGAGCUUGCUCCUGGAUUCAGCGGCGGACGGGUGAGUAAUGCCUAGGAAUCUGCCUGGUAGUGGGGGAUAACGUCCGGAAACGGGCGCUAAUACCGCAUACGUCCUGAGGGAGAAAGUGGGGGAUCUUCGGACCUCCCGCUAUCAGAUGAGCCUAGGUCGGAUUAGCUAGUUGGUGGGGUAAAGGCCUACCAAGGCGACGAUCCGUAACUGGUCUGAGAGGAUGAUCAGUCACACUGGAACUGAGACAAGGUCCAGACUCCUAAGGGAGGCAGCAGUGGGGAAUAUUGGACAAUGGGCGAAAGCCUGAUCCAGCCAUGCCGCGUGUGUGAAGAAGGUCUUCGGAUUGUAAAGCACUUUAAGUUGGGAGGAAGGGCAGUAAGUUAAUACCUUGCUGUUUUGACGUUACCAACAGAAUAAGCACCGGCUAACUUCGUG